GAGCUCUUGUAUCUACUGUAUGAAACAAUUGAAUUGACUUAUUCAAACAAGCAAGGUUCUAAGAAUCAACAGAUUAGCUGAAGGAAAACAACUCCAAAUCCCACACUGAAGCCAGCAUGAAAAAGUUCAUCCCAGGUCUGGAAUACUACAAAGCAGUAAUCAAAUGAUGUUCCAUCUAAGUUAUACAUGAGAUCUAUUAACUGAUCUCUAUUAUUAAAGCUAGAUUAUUUAUA